rnacentral:rRNA from 1 species
UACGGAGGGAGCUAGCGUUGUUCGGAAUUACUGGGCGUAAAGCGCACGUAGGCGGCUUUGUAAGUUAGAGGUGAUAGCCUGGAGCUCAACUCCAGAAUUGCCUUUAAGACUGCAUCGCUUGAAUCCAGGAGAGGUGAGUGGAAUUCCGAGUGUAGAGGUGAAAUUCGUAGAUAUUCGGAAGAACACCAGUGGCGAAGGCGUCUCACUGGACUGGUAUUGACGCUGAGGUGCGAAAGCGUGGGGAGCAAACAGGAUUCAGAUACCCUGGUAGUCAAGGGCG